AGGGGUAUGGUGUCAAUGGUAGCAUAACGGUCUCCAAAACCGUCGGUACGGGUUCGAGUCCUGUUACCCCUGCCA
rnacentral:tRNA from 1 species